GCCUUUCGGGUUGUAAAGCACUUUCAGUCGUGAGGAAGGUAGUGUAGUUAAUAGCUGCAUUAUUUGACGUUAGCGACAGAAGAAGCACCGGCUAACUCCGUGCCAGCAGCCGCGGUAAUACGGAGGGUGCGAGCGUUAAUCGGAAUUACUGGGCGUAAAGCGCAUGCAGGUGGUUUGUUAAGUCAGAUGUGAAAGCCCGGGGCUCAACCUCGGAAUUGCAUUUGAAACUGGCAGACUAGAGUACUGUAGAGGGGGGUAGAAUUUCAGGUGUAGCGGUGAAAUGCGUAGAGAUCUGAAGGAAUACCGGUGGCGAAGGCGGCCCCCUGGACAGAUACUGACACUCAGAUGCGAAAGCGUGGGGAGCAAACAGGAUUAGAUACCCUGGUAGUCCACGCCGUAAACGAUGUCUACUUGGAGGUUGUGGCCUUGAGCCGUGGCUUUCGGAGCUAACGCGUUAAGUAGACCGCCUGGGGAGUACGGUCGCAAGAUUAAAACUCAAAUGAAUUGACGGGGGCCCGCACAAGCGGUGGAGCAUGUGGUUUAAUUCGAUGCAACGCGAAGAACCUUACCUACUCUUGACAUCCAGAGAACUUUCCAGAGAUGGAUUGGUGCCUUCGGGAACUCUGAGACAGGUGCUGCAUGGCUGUCGUCAGCUCGUGUUGUGAAAUGUUGGGUUAAGUCCCG
rnacentral:rRNA from 1 species